rnacentral:sRNA from 1 species
ACAAGUCUUUAGGAUGUUCCAAACUUUCCCUCAUCUUCCUGUCUUCUUCUGAGCCCUCCACAAAAUUCCAACCUCUGUCCACUAUGCAGUUCCAAAAUCGCUUCCACAUUUUCAGAUAUCUUUAUAGCAGUGGCCCACUCCCCACUAUCAACUUUCUAUAUUAGUUCAUUGUCACACUGCUAUACAGAGACACUUGAGACUGGGUAAUUUAUAAAGAAAAGACAUUUUAUUGGCUCAUGGUUCUGCAGGCUGUACAGGAAGCAUAAGUAGCUUCUGCUUCUGGGUAGGCCUCAGGAAACUUUCAAUCAUGUCACAAAGUGAAGGGGAAGUAGGCCAUGUGUUACAUGCAUGGCUGGAGCAGGAGGAAGAGAGGUAGAAGGGAGGUGCUACACACCUUUAAACAAACAAUCAGAUCUCAUGAUAACUCACUAUCAUGAGAACAGCACCAAAGGGGAAAUUCACCUCCAUGAUCCAAUCACCACCCAUCAGGCCCUACCUCCAACAUUGGGGAUUACAAUUUGACAUGAAAUUUGGGUGAUGACACAGAUCCAAAUAUUUCCAUUCAAUUGACUGCAAUCUACCUAAUUCCAUUAGGUUUAAUGGGAUAACUCAAGAUUCAGAACAAUGUAAUUACUCUAUUUACCUUUAGAAUGGCCUAAGAGAGCUAAUCUUGUAAGCCAGAUUGGCUUUCAUACUUUAUUUUUUCAGGCCACUAUUGGUCACCACUGUUUCAGAGAUUUAGCAGAUUAUUUGCCAAUCUGGGUUAUGUAUAACAGUUCUGCUUUAUAUGAUGUAUUUAAUUCAAGGAAGCAUGUACCAUGUGAAGACACAAUCAAAGAGAUAAUAUGAGAUCAAAUGAAAUUUACUUUCACAUAAGAUCUGGUAACAUUGUCUAUAUAGUAUGUAUGUGUACUAUUUAUUACAUAUCAGUAUUUACAAAUACUGUUUAAAACUAGAUAAAUUAAAGUACUCUUCUUUUAUAGGUAUUGUCAGUGCUAAAGCAUUCAUUGCUGUCUUUUAAGAGACGAAGAGCCGUGGAGACUUUGAAACUUUACUUUUUAUUUUCCUUGCAGCUCCUGAUCAAAGAGGACUAUUUAAAUAAAAAAUGUAAUCCAAAGAAAUUUGCAGGACUUGCAUCAUAUUUGCAUGGUCAUGAACCUUCAAAUCUUGUUUUUGUAAAUUUUCUCAAGAGAGGCCUUUUCCAUAAUCUCUGUAAGCCAGCCUGGAAAGGCUCACGGCAAUUUUCCCAAGAUGUGAUGGAAAAGCUCGUGUUAGUAUUGGCAAAUUUGUUUGGAAGAAAAUAUAUUCCAGCAAAAUUCCAAAAUGCUAAUUUAAGUUUUUCUCAGUCAAAGACACAACAACAACAAAAUAAUAACAAGCAAACAAAACCCAAGAAAAUGUGCAUUAGAACCUGGGAAUGUAGAAGAAGCUUGUUUCUAUCCAGUAACCCUAAUGAAUAGAGAACAAAAAGGUGAUCCUUGCCGAACUCCCGGAGGAUUUUAAAGCUGCUUUAUAUGAGUAUAACCUGGCAGUAAUGAAGGAUUUUGCCUCCUUCCUGCUGAUUGCUUCCAAGUCGGUGAACAUGACAGGAGAGUAUCAACUCCCUUUGUCAAGAAUCAAAUUCACAGGUAAAGAAUGUGAAGACUCCCAACUCGUGUCUCGCUUGAUGAGUUGCAAGGAAGGAAGAGUAGCCAUUUCACCAUUUGUUUGUCUUUCGGGGAACACAGAUAACGAUUUGCUUCGACCAGAGACUAUCAACCAGAUCAUUCUGCGCACAAUCGGUGUUAGUGGCACUCAGGCUCCUCUGCUGUGGCCGUGGAAAUUAGAUAACCGAGGAAGGAGAAUGCCACUAAAUGCAUAUGUGCUCAAUUUCUAUAAACACAACUGCUUGACAAGAUUAGACCAAAAAAAUGGGAUGCGUAUGGGACAGCUUUUGAAGUGUUUGAAAGAUUUUGCAUUCAACAUUCAGGCUAUCAGUGACUCCUUGAGUGAACUAUGUGAAAAUAAGCAUGACAAUGUAGUCCUGGCAUUUAAACAAUUGAGUCAAACCUUUUAUGAGAAACUUGAAGAAAUGCAAACUCAGAUGAGUCAAAAUCAUUUAGAAUAACACUGUGGAAAACUUUCAAGUCUGAUUAUGUGGUAUUUAUCCCUUUGCAAGGAGAGAUAUAAUUGAGCUAACAACGAAAUGGAAAAAAUGUUUGUCUUGGAGCCAAACAGAAUUAAACUCAAAUAUUAGCUCUGCUAUUUUUUAACUGAAUGACUUUAAGUUAUGUAAUAUAUCUGAUCUUUAACUUCAUUUUUGGCAAAAUCGGAGUAGAAAUGAUUACCUCUAGUUGUUUUGAGGAUUAAAUGAGAUAAUGUAAGAAAAGUGAUUGGGAUUGGGUGGUGACUUAAUUAAUGAUAGUGUUUUUUUUAGUAGUUAAAGUUAAUGUAUAGCAAAAUUAGUUUCACAUUGUCAAGUUUUCAAUACAUCCCCAAGUUCAUUGAAUUUUAAAUUAAUGAUCAAUAAGUCACAAAGGACCCAAAUCAAUUCUGAACAACAAUUUAGUUAUAUAAGAAGACUUCUGAGAUUACAAGAAACUCACUGCUGUGGACUGGAUGUUUGUGCCCUCCCCUCCAAAAUUUUUAUACCGAAAUUCUAACCCUCAAUGUGAUGGUAUUAGGAGAUGAUAUGUCAUAAGGGUGCAGCUGCUUGGAUGUAAUUAGUGCCUUUAACAGAGAGACAAGAGAGCUUGCUCUCCAAUCUCUGCUCACUACCACUGGAUGAUACAAUGGGAAGAUGGCCAUCUGCAGACCAAGAAGCAAGCCCUCAACAGAACUGAAUCUACUUACACCAUGAUCUUGAACUUUCCAGCCUCCCGGAUUGUGAGAAAUACACGUUUGUUGUUUAGCCAUCUAGUCUGUGGUAUUCUGUUGAAGCAGCCUGAAUUGACUAAGACAGUCACUUGGAGUAGUUAUAAACCACUUUCCUUUUGAAAGCAGAACAUGCUGAUUCAACUGUUUUGUCCAAUAGCAAUGAUAGAUUUUGUUUAAGUCCCCUACACUUUCUUAUUUCUUCUUUCUAAAUGAUCAAGAAUACACUUUCUGGCAGUGAUUAAGGAGUGUGUAUGUAACAGAAAAAAUAUAUAUACCCUGUGAACCCGAAUGUGGAAUUCAGAUUGUUUCUGCCCUCAAUAUCAUACUUAAAAAACAAGCAUACAAACAAACAUAAGGGAACAAACAGCAACCAUAACAAAAACAAACCUUUAAAGGUGCGUUUUUGCUGUGAUAAAUGAAUACGGUACUCUGAAGGAGAAAAAAGUCUCUUAAAUGAGCUUAAACUGCAGGUGAUUUAAAAAUUAGAGAGUAGAAUUCUUAAAGCUAUUGAAAGUUUCAACCAGAAAACCUCAAGUGAAUUUUGUAUGUAAAUGAAAUCUUGAAUGUAAGUUCUUUGAUUCUUCAAGCAAACAAUUAGCUGAAAACUUGGUAUUGUUGUAGUUUAUGUAGUAAGUGACUUGGCACCCAUCAGAAAAUAAAGGGCAUUAAAUU